UUUUGACCUCGGAUCAGGUAGGGAUACCCGCUGAACUUAAGCAUAUCAAUAAGCCGGAGGAAAACCUG
rnacentral:rRNA from 1 species